GGCUCAGUGGUUAAGCGCCCCUGGGUUCAAUCCCUGGUACUAGAUGUCCUGAAUUUCAGAGUUCUCCAUACCAGGGCAGUGUGAAAAGACACAAGAAAAAAGGAAAAAAAAAGACACUGCAUCCUACAAGUGUGCAGAGCCCUAGUGACAGGCCCUGCUCGGGCUGUCAGGAGUGGGGGGGACCUGAGGGGAAACCCAGAACGGCAGGGCCAGGGAAUCACACUGACCUGGGAAUUUCAAAAUCCAUCUGUGUGGGCUCAAGCUCUGCUUUGAUCUCCUGGCAGUGUGAUCCCUUGGGGGAGGUUGGAUCCCCGGCUUCCUGUCCCUGCCCUGUUUCCCAGCCAGCCUGGAAAGCACUGCUUCCUGAUUCCUGCCCUGAGAGCCAAGAGCAGCCUCCUGGCCCCACAGGGGUCCAGACCCGGACUCCAGCAUGAAGACUUUUUGAUGAUAAUGAUAAUAUGACAUGUUGAUGAUGACAAUAACGUGACUUCAGAGCAAGAAUUCACUCCCUGCACACUCAGAUGGGCAAAGACGAUAUUGUCUGUCUCUGUCUCUUUUCUUCUGUUACUAAUGAGUCUGUCUUAGGAGCCACUUGGAGGUGUGGGAGCCGGAAAGGAAGGAGACGGCUUAUCAAGUAGGGCUCUUGGUCUCUUCUCCUGUUUGUUUCCUAGACAUACAUGCAUAUGAUGAAAUUUCAUUUUUUCACUCAAAGGAAGCACUUUAUGGUUUUUCUUUGGUGCAUCCAAAUUUCCAGAAUCACUACUCUUUUUUUUUUUUUUAAGCAUUUUGGAAGGGAAAGUAAAAUUUUUAUUGCUUAUUUAUUUUUUUUAUCUGGUGCUGAGGAUGGAACCCAGUGCCUCAUAUGUGCAAGGCAAGUACUCUGCCACUGAGCCGCGGCCCCAGCCCCCAGCAUCACUACUCUUGUGCUUUGGAACCAUUAUUAAGUAAAAUAAGGGUUACCUGAAUAUAAGCACUGCAGUGUUAUUGUGAGCAUCAAUCUGAUAACUGAGGCUCAGUGACUAAUGGGGGUGGGCAGUGGAGAGCGUAUAAGUUGCACAAAGGGAUGAUUCACCUCUCAAGCAGGACAGAGUGGGAUGGCGCAAGAUUUCAUCAUGUUCCUCAGAAUGCGGCACAAUUGAAAACUUAGGAAUUCUUUGUUUCUGGAAUUCUCCCUUUAAUAUUUUGGACUGCAGUCGACUGGUUUGCCUAGAAGACAAAAGGAGAGUCCACAAUAGAGGUAAGGUGUUGCC
rnacentral:lncRNA from 1 species